rnacentral:lncRNA from 1 species
CAUGGAGCCAAUCAAGGACAAUUUAUCUUGAGAACAGAAAAGGUUAAAGAGAAGGCAGUGUCCUCAGUGUGACCCCAUUUUGGUAAAAGAAGGCAUGUAUACAUAAUCAUAGAAGGAAACCAGAAAGAAAUCCAGAAAGAUGCUGAGUAUUUUCUGUGGGUGGUGGGAUUCUCAGUCUUUUGAGCAGAUGCUGUUGGUACCCUGGCCCACCCUCGUGUCACCACCUCAAGUUACCUUAUUACAGGGUAGGAGUUUCCUGGUCUUUCUGCCCAAGGGCAGAAAGUGAAAGUCUGGCCAGUGUACAGGGCAGACCAGACUGCUGAGGAGCUGAUGUCCCAGGAGUACCCCUCACAGAUGACAGAAGGUACCCUUUGCGGCUGUGUCCUUCCCACUGUCUCAGAGGGUCCCCAGGAGAAGGAGCACCAGGGACCCAUAGCAGUAACGUUUAUAGCAGUGCCAACACCUUCGUGAGCUUUUUCUCUUCCUCUCCCAUCUCAUUUCUGCUUUCUUUCGCCAUGCUUCCUGGGAUCACCUCCCAGCAAACGUAUUGGCAACCAAAUCAUGUCAGCGUUGGCUUUGCGGAGAAUCCAGACUUGGU